CUCCCCUUCCCAUCGUAAUUUGCUUAUUAUAUCAUUUGCUUAUUAUAUGUGUAUUGCCAUAUACUUGGGGUAAAGGCUGUUUACCCUUAAAAAUAUUGUCUGUGCCUUUUCUUUUCCCGUUGCACAUUUCUUGCACAGAAUACUGCCCUAGAGGAGGGGGUGGGAGAAACCUAUGGGGAUAGUAUAUUGAGUCUUAAAAUGGACUUUGAAGGUCUCCGCAGAAAUAAUAGUUUGGAAGAAAAGACUUUUGAAUCUCAAAACCAUGAAUUCUGAGUGUCAUAAGCAAUGGUACUCAGUGUCAUAAAAGACUUGUAAACAGGUUUUGCCAUGGAGAAGACAGUGGGCCAUGUCCAGGAGGGAAGUUGUAGAAGAAAUUCAAUGUGCUAAAACCCCAAGUGUGUGGAUUAGGAGGAUACCUUACUAGCUACAUGUUAAAAUGUGCUUAAAAUCAUUGUAGUGUAGCCAGUAGUAAAAAGAAGGCUAAGAAUUGGGAUGUGUUCUUUGCCAUUAGUCUAAGAAUCUAAAAACUUACCUGGCUGAAUAAAAAAUAUUGAAUCUUAAGGCAAAUUAGAGCCUAUCUUGCUUCAGUGUUUAAAACGUGUUGGCACUUGGCAGAAACGUCUCUUCUCCUCACCAUUUCACAUAGUCCAGACACAAAAGCAGAACAUCUGGCGGGAUAGAUUAUUUUAAUUUAAUUCUAAGUAUGGGAAAUCCCCAAGACUCUCUGUUUGAAAGAAAACGGCUAUGUUACAAGAUUUAAUAGAUGAUUUUUAUUUAGUAGACAUGGGAUGGUGUGAAUUUUGGCAAAGACAGACGUCCCUGCCACAGUGGCUGUUCUCUGCCUGCCCUGGAAGUGGAGGUAGACAGCAGCCCUGGGGGGGCGGCAUCAGUCUUCUCUGGCCUUUGGAUUGAGACUAUGUAUCCCACCAGCUCUCCUGGGUCUCCCGCUUGCUGAUUCAGAUCUUGGGACUUCUCAGCCUCUACAAUUUUAGGGGUCUCCAGUCAACUCUCGUGAGGAGACACGUCCCACUGCCUCAUUUAGUUGGCCUCAGGGUGAGGGAUCAGGACCCACCCAGUGCAACGAAUAAACCCGGAGUCUCAGCAACGUGAGGAGAAAAAGGCUUGCAACACCAUGGCGACCAGGUAACUCCGUGCACAGACUAAGGUCUCCUAACACAGGCACUGCCCCUGGAGUUCUCAGUACAUCAACAUCAGCCUGGGGAUCAUGUUCUCAUCAAAAGCUGGAAAGAGGAGAAACUCGAACCAGCCUGGGAAGGACCUUACCUGCUGCUCCUAACCACUGAAACCGCAGUCCAGAGAGCAGAAAAAGGAUGGACCCAUCACACCUGAGUCAAGAAAGCACCACCACCUCCGGAGUCAGGAGCCGUUAUCCCAGGGGAAAACCCUACCAAACUAAUGCUAAGAAAAGUUUAACUCUCUUUCAUCUAUUCUACUACUCCUUCUUCUUUCCUCAUUCUAUGGCUGACCACCUCAUUAUUAAUGUAACCACGUCAAGCUCACCCCAAACUAUUACCUUUGAUGCAUGUCUUGUUAUACCCUGUGGAGAUCUCCAAAGUCAAAAGCAACACUCAGCCUCAGAGAAAUAUCUCUGCCCCUUUAAGAUAAAAGGCUCCCCCUAUCAAGACCCUUAUUCCUUAACGAAUGCAGGAAAACAGGUCUGCCAUAGCUGGAAUGAUGCUAUGUGGACAACUGACCAUCAAGGCGGGACCUCAUCAACAGGUGGUUGUAUGUCCUUAAAACCAUACAUUCGCUUCACUAAAGGAAGUACCUCCCACAAUUGCCAGUAUAACCAAUGUAAUCCAGUGCAAAUUUCUAUUCUCAUUCCCACUUCUACUGACCCUAAACCUACUUUAAGUUGCUUAUAUGGCAUGGGAGCCAAAAUAGCAGGGACACAUCUUAUUGGAUCUUUUGAGAUAUGUUUUACUAUUCCUUCACCUCCUACAUCUCCUUCUACACUAUCCCCCAAUGUUCUGUUCUUCCUCCACCCAAAGAUAAAACCAAAAUAGAUAUUGUAGAAGUAAAUGACCUAAAACAAACUUUAGCAAUUGAAACAGGAUAUCAAGAUGCAAAUGCCUGGAUGGAAUGGAUUAAAUAUUCCGUACACACU